CGAUAUCGACGAGUUGAUCAGUGGCUCAGAACGAACGCUGGCGGCAGGCCUAACACAUGCAAGUCGAGCGCCCCGCAAGGGGAGCGGCGCACGGGUGAGUAACGCGUGGGAAUAUGCCCUGGGGCUGGGGAUAACGGCGGGAAACUGCCGCUAAUACCCGGUACGCCAUGAGUGGGAAAGGAGCAAUCCGCCCUGGGAGUAGCCCGCGUUGGAUUAGCUAGUUGGUGUGGUAAGAGCGCACCAAGGCGACGAUCCAUAGCUGGUCUGAGAGGAUGAUCAGCCACACUGGGACUGAGACACGGCCCAGACUCCUACGGGAGGCAGCAGUGGGGAAUAUUGGACAAUGGGGGCAACCCUGAUCCAGCCAUGCCGCGUGAGUGAAGAAGGCCCUAGGGUUGUAAAGCUCUUUCGCACGCGACGAUGAUGACGGUAGCGUGAGAAGAAGCCCCGGCUAACUUCGUG
rnacentral:rRNA from 1 species